AGUGAACGCUGGCGGUAGGCCUAACACAUGCAAGUCGAACGGCAGCACAGUAAGAGCUUGCUCUUACGGGUGGCGAGUGGCGGACGGGUGAGGAAUACAUCGGAAUCUACUUUUUCGUGGGGGAUAACGUAGGGAAACUUACGCUAAUACCGCAUACGACCUACGGGUGAAAGCAGGGGAUCUUCGGACCUUGCGCGAUUGAAUGAGCCGAUGUCGGAUUAGCUAGUUGGCGGGGUAAAGGCCCACCAAGGCGACGAUCCGUAGCUGGUCUGAGAGGAUGAUCAGCCACACUGGAACUGAGACACGGUCCAGACUCCUACGGGAGGCAGCAGUGGGAAUAUUGGACAAUGGGCGCAAGCCUGAUCCAGCCAUACCGCGUGGGUGAAGAAGACCUUCGGGUUGUAAAGCCCUUUUGUUGGGAAAGAAAAGCAGCAGGUUAAUACCCCGCUGUUCUGACGGUACCCAAAGAAUAAGCACCGGCUAACUUCGUG
rnacentral:rRNA from 1 species